AUAUUGCGCAAUGGGGGCAACCCUGACGCAGCAAUGCCGCGUGAAGGAUGAAGGUCUUNGGAUUGNANACUUCUUUUGUCAGGGANGCUAAUGACGGUACCUGACGAAUAAGCUCCGGCUAACUACGUGCCAGCAGCCGCGGUAAUACGUAGGGAGCAAGCGUUGUCCGGAUUUACUGGGUGUAAAGGGUGCGUAGGCGGGCUUGCAAGUCAGCUGUGAAAUCUAUGGGCUCAACCCAUAAAUUGCAGUUGAAACUGUAGGUCUUGAGUGAAGUAGAGGCAGGCGGUAUUCCCAGUGUAGCGGUGAAAUGCGUAGAGAUUGGGAGGAACACCAGUGGCGAAGGCGGCCUGCUGGGCUUUAACUGACGCUGAGGCACGAAAGCAUGGGUAGCAAACAGG
rnacentral:rRNA from 1 species